AACGAACGCUGGCGGCAGGCCUAACACAUGCAAGUCGAACGCUGCAGCAAUGCAGAGUGGCAGACGGGUGAGUAACGCGUGGGAACCUUCCCAGUGGUACGGAAUAGCCCAGGGAAACUUGGGGUAAUACCGUAUAAGCCCCUAGGGGGAAAGAUUUAUCGCCAUUGGAUGGGCCCGCGUCGGAUUAGCUAGUUGGUGAGGUAAUGGCUCACCAAGGCGACGAUCCGUAGCUGGUCUGAGAGGAUGAUCAGCCACACUGGGACUGAGACACGGCCCAGACUCCUACGGGAGGCAGCAGUGGGGAAUAUUGGACAAUGGGCGCAAGCCUGAUCCAGCCAUGCCGCGUGAGUGACGAAGGCCUUAGGGUUGUAAAGCUCUUUUGGCGGGGACGAUAAUGACGGUACCCGCAGAAUAAGCUCCGGCUAACUUCGUGCCAGCCGCCGCGGUAA
rnacentral:rRNA from 1 species